rnacentral:lncRNA from 1 species
UUGAGUAGUAAUUAGUCUGUAAACAUGACCAAGAACAAGUGUAUCCGUCGGCUUGAGAAGCUUAAUCCGCGUUAUACGAACUGGCAUGUUACCAGUAUUUUUGCCUGCACUGCUAUUUCUGUUUGCGGUGGCUGUCGCGGUGGGGUUAGUGGGCGGACACAAGGUGGUAGUGGUAAGAAGAAGAGCAACAUAAUGGCCUGGAUUCAUUUUCAUGAUUUGGUUAGCAGGUACUGGCCAAUAGAGUUUGUCAACUCUGCCACUA